UACGAAGGGGGCUAGCGUUGCUCGGAAUCACUGGGCGUAAAGCGCACGUAGGCGGAUCUUUAAGUCAGGGGUGAAAUCCCAAGGCUCAACCUUGGAACUGCCUUUGAUACUGGGGAUCUCGAGUCCGGAAGAGGUUGGUGGAACUGCGAGUGUAGAGGUGAAGUUCGUAGAUAUUCGCAAGAACACCAGUGGCGAAGGCGGCCAACUGGUCCGGUACUGACGCUGAGACGCGAAAGCGUGGGGAGCGAACCGG
rnacentral:rRNA from 1 species